AGGCAUCAGAGGCCAAACUGAACCACAGGAGGGACCUUCAAAAGGUCCAGCUAGCUCGGACCAGCAGCAGUCGAGUGCACAGGAAUCCACCACCAGGCCUACUCCUAGCUCCCACGCUACUUCCGAAAUGUAGGAUUUAUUGUAAAUUACUUAAAGUCUUGUAAAUAAUUAGUAACUGCUCUGAUAUCUGGUUGGAUUAGAUAACCAGAACUGGUGAAUAUUUAGUUAUCCUAUUCUGGCA